rnacentral:rRNA from 1 species
GGCGCACGGGUGAGUAACACGUGGACAACUGCCUUGGAGUCUGGGAUAACCCGUCGAAAGACGAGCUAAUACCGGAUAAGACCACGAGAAGUUCGCUUCAUGAGGUAAAAGAUGGCCUCUGCUCCUGCAAGCUAUCACUUCGAGAGGGGUCCGCGUCCUAUCAGCUAGUUGGCGGGGUAACGGCCUACCAAGGCGACGAUCCGUAGCUGGUCUGAGAGGACGACCAGCCACACUGGGACUGAGACACGGCCAGACUCCAUACGGGAGGCAGCAGUGGGGAAUAUUGGACAAUGGGGGAAACCCUGAUCCAGCGACGCCGCGUGUGUGAAGAAGGCCUGCGGGUUGUAAAGCACUUUUAGUGGGGAUGAAAAGCUCAGGGCUAACACCUCUGGGUCUUGACCUAACCCACAGAAAAAGCACCGGCUAACUCUGUGCCAGCCGCCGCGG